AUGGUCCUCGUGUGGCACAUUGCCACCACCAUAUGCGCCAACCAGGAACAGGACCAGGGCACCGACAACUCCGACCGCCGCGUUGCAACCACUCUGUCCAGCUACUGCGCCUACCUUCUCGCUUUCAUCCCGGACAUGCUGCCGGACCACAGCUACACGGCCACGCAGAUCCUGGAUGCCGUCAUUCUAGAUGCCCGAAAGCGCCUCGGCACAGCCAAAACAUUGUCGGGCAGAUGCAAAAUGAUGUUACGAUUGGGAAAGACGCACAACUGCAACAUGGAGCAAGACAUGUCCAUCUUGAUCCUUGGAGCCAGCCUGGCAGACAAGCUCUUGUCGGAGAACGAGCGGCCGCCGUGGAAGCUGCUCGCGGGCUUCUGGGCCGACAUGGUGCUCUUCCUGGCGCCGUCCGACAAGGCCGACGUCCAUGCCGACCACCUAGCCGCCGGCGGCGAGUUCAUGACCCACCUUUGGGCGCUGCUCACGCACGCAGGCAUUGUUCACCGUCCAGACAUCCAUGCUGCAUCACAUGCUUGA
rnacentral:rRNA from 1 species